rnacentral:rRNA from 1 species
AACGAACGCUGGCGGCAUGCCUAACACAUGCAAGUCGAACGAGACCUUCGGGUCUUGUGGCGCACGGGUGCGUAACGCGUGGGAACCUGCCCUUAGGUUCGGAAUAACUCCCCGAAAGGGGUGCUAAUACCGGAUAAUGUCUUCGGACCAAAGAUUUAUCGCCUUUGGAUGGGCCCGCGUUGGAUUAGCUAGUUGGUAGGGUAAAAGCCUACCAAGGCGACGAUCCAUAGCUGGUCUGAGAGGAUGAUCAGCCACACUGGGACUGAGACACGGCCCAGACUCCUACGGGAAGGAGCAGUGGGGAAUAUUGGACAAUGGGCGAAAGCCUGAUCCAGCAAUGCCGCGUGAGUGAUGAAGGCCUUAGGGUUGUAAAGCUCUUUUACCCGGGAUGAUAAUGACAGUACCGGGAGAAUAAGCUCCGGCUAACUCCGUG